AUGGGGCAUGCAGCGACGAAGAUGCAAGUUCCAGCUGCGCCGGCGUGCAGCCACGAAGAUGCAUGCAGGGGAGGUUCCAGGACGCGGCGGCGUUCAUUCUCCGGCUGGAUCACGCCGGAUUCCGGCGGGAAUGGUUCGAGGGCGACCGAAUCCACGCAUGGGGAGGCGAGGCAUACACUUGAGGCAGCGACUCGCCUCGAUGCAGAGAACCCAGAGAUUUGGGGAAAGAAAAGGAGCUCUAGGAAAAGAGUUUGGGCAUGGGGUUAUUUUCCCUGGACUCACAAAAAUGAUCGGGAUCCAUAA
rnacentral:rRNA from 1 species